ACGCCUUUUAAUUGAAAUCCAGAGAGGUUUCUAAGGGUGUGUGAAAAGCGCGUUAUAGACGAAGCUUGUUUUCUUACACCCUUUCUAAGUUAGAAAGGGUGUUUUUUAU
rfam:Bacillus megaterium QM B1551, complete genome.